GACGAACGCUGGCGGCGUGCUUAACACAUGCAAGUCGAACGGAAAGGCCCUGCUUUUGUGGGGUGCUCGAGUGGCGAACGGGUGAGUAACACGUGAGUAACCUGCCCUUGACUUUGGGAUAACUUCAGGAAACUGGGGCUAAUACCGGAUAGGAGCUCCUGCUGCAUGGUGGGGGUUGGAAAGUUUCGGCGGUUGGGGAUGGACUCGCGGCUUACCAGCUUGUUGGUGGGGUAGUGGCUUACCAAGGCUUUGACGGGUAGCCGGCCUGAGAGGGUGACCGGCCACAUUGGGACUGAGAUACGGCCCAGACUCCUACGGGAGGCAGCAGUGGGGAAUAUUGCACAAUGGGCGGAAGCCUGAUGCAGCAACGCCGCGUGCGGGAUGACGGCCUUCGGGUUGUAAACCGCUUUCGCCUGUGACGAAGCGUGAGUGACGGUAAUGGGUAAGGAAGCACCGGCUAACUACGUG
rnacentral:rRNA from 1 species